UACGUAGGGACCGAGCGUUGUCCGGAAUCAUUGGGCGUAAAGAGCGUGUAGGCGGCCACUUAAGUCCUGCGUGAAAUCCUGCGGCUCAACCGCAGGCGGUCGCGGGAACCUGGGUGGCUAGAGUGCGGGAGAGGAGAGUGGAAUUCCUGGUGUAGCGGUGGAAUGCGCAGAUAUCAGGAAGAACACCCGUGGCGAAGGCGGCUCUCUGGAACGCAACUGACGCUGAGACGCGAAAGCGUGGGGAGCAAACAGG
rnacentral:rRNA from 1 species